rnacentral:lncRNA from 1 species
CGGGGGCCCCGCGGCUCCGUGCUGAGGGUCGGCGCCCGUGCAGCGCGAGCAGCGCGGCCGGGGCCUGCAGAAAGUUUCCGCGGCGGCAGGUGGACGGCAGGCUGGGACCUGUUGCAAUUCCUGAUCGUUCUGGCCGCGUUUCAUCAAGCAGUUGUGACUUGAGAACUGUCCCGGCCCUCGCGCCCCAUAACCACGCGGUUUCCUUGGCCUCCUUUGGCGCUUACGUCCCUUCUCGUCCCCCAGCAAGCUUCCUGCACGGCGAAACCGAGCCGCGUUUUGCGCCCCGUCGGGCGGCGGAAGGGUUAAGUCCCGCUGCGCUGAGCGUUUCGGCGCUCGUUGGCUGCCGGCCCAGCGCUCUCGGUGCCGUAUUGCAUCAGAGCGGGCAGGAGCACCUCGCUGCGCUCCCCCUCUGCGCGCUGUACUUGGAGCGCUUCGCCGUUUCCCACGGCAUGUUAAUUUUUUCCCUCCGUGGUCUCCAGGAUUCCUUCUCACGGGUUUCUUGGAGGAUGUUCUGCCCCGCUCCUCCCACCCAGGUUGAGGGCAGGGCGCCGCUCCGCUCUGCCCUACGCCGGGCGCCUGGAGCCCAUCUUUGCACCUCCGGCACACGGCGAGCCCUCGGUGCCGAAACGCUCCCCGCUCGGUGUCGAAACGUCGCCGCAGAGCAGUCCCGUGCGUUGCCCAGCGAGGUUCCCAGUGUCUCAAAACUUGCUAAAUACUUUGGAUGGGAUCGGUGAGCUGCAGGGCCUGUUGGAGGCUCGUCCCUUCUCCAGCUAUUUUUCACAGAGGGACAAU